AGAGUUUGAUCCUGGCUCAGGAUGAACGCUAGCGGCAGGCCUAACACAUGCAAGUCGAGGGGUAACGAUUUCGAGCAAUCGAAAGGCGACGACCGGCGCACGGGUGAGUAACGCGUAUGCAACCUGCCUCUGACUGGGGAAUAGCUUCCGGAAACGGAAAUUAAUACCCCAUAACAUUGCGAAGCCGCAUGGUUUUGCAAUUAAAGCUCCGGCGGUCAGAGAUGGGCAUGCGUGACAUUAGUUUGUUGGUGAGGUAACGGCUCACCAAGACUACGAUGUCUAGGGGGUCUGAGAGGAUGGUCCCCCACACUGGUACUGAGACACGGACCAGACUCCUACGGGAGGCAGCAGUGAGGAAUAUUGGGCAAUGGACGCAAGUCUGACCCAGCCAUGCCGCGUGCAGGAUGACGGCCCUAUGGGUUGUAAACUGCUUUUAUUUGGGAAGAAACCCCCCGACGUGUCGGGGGCUGACGGUACCAAAAGAAUAAGCAUCGGCUAACUCCGUGCCAGCAGCCGCGGUAAUACGGAGGAUGCAAGCGUUAUCCGGAUUUAUUGGGUUUA
rnacentral:rRNA from 1 species